rnacentral:rRNA from 1 species
GAUGAACGCUGGCGGCGUGCCUAAUACAUGCAAGUCGAGCGAAUGGAUUAAGAGCUUGCUCUUAUGAAGUUAGCGGCGGACGGGUGAGUAACACGUGGGUAACCUGCCCAUAAGACUGGGAUAACUCCGGGAAACCGGGGCUAAUACCGGAUAACAUUUUGAACCGCAUGGUUCGAAAUUGAAAGGCGGCUUCGGCUGUCACUUAUGGAUGGACCCGCGUCGCAUUAGCUAGUUGGUGAGGUAACGGCUCACCAAGGCAACGAUGCGUAGGCGACCUGAGAGGUUGAUCGGCCACACUGGGACUGAGACACGGCCCAGACUCCUGCGGGAGGCAGCAGUAGGGAAUCUUCCGCAAUGGACGAAAGUCUGACGGAGCAACGCCGCGUGAGUGAUGAAGGCUUUCGGGUCGUAAAACUCUGUUGUUAGGGAGGAACAAGUGCUAGUUGAAUAAGCUGGCACCUUGACGGUACCUAACCAGAAAGCCACGGCUAACUACGUGCCAGCAGCCGCCGUAA